ensembl:misc_RNA Y_RNA Y RNA
GGCUAGUCUGAUGGUAGUGGGUUAUCAGAACUUUGUGUCACUAAAGUUGGUAUGCAACCCCACACUGCUGAAUUUGAUUGGCUUUAA